rnacentral:rRNA from 1 species
GAUGAACGCUGACAGAAUGCUUAACACAUGCAAGUCUUUGGCGAAGCUGUGCUUGCACAGCCUAGCCAAGGCGGACGGGUGAGUAACGCGUAAGGAACUUGCCCUGCAGUCAGGGAUAACAGACGGAAACGACUGAUAAGACCUGGUAAAGUCAGGCGGACUCAUGUCCAGCCUGAUGAAAAGAGAUGCUGCAGGAGAGCCUUGCGUCCUAUUAGCUUGUUGGUGGGGUAACGGCCCACCAAGGCGAUGAUAGGUAGCCGGCCUGAGAGGGUGGACGGCCACAAGGGGACUGAGAUACAGCCCUUACUCCUACGGGAGGCAGCAGUGGGGAAUAUUGGACAAUGGGGGCAACCCUGAUCCAGCAAUUCUGUGUGCACGAUGAAGGUUUUCGGAUUGUAAAGUGCUUUCAGCAGGGAAGAAAAAAUGACGGUACCUGCAGAAGAAGCGACGGCUAAAUACGUG